rnacentral:rRNA from 1 species
UACGUAGGGUCCGAGCGUUGUCCGGAAUUACUGGGCGUAAAGAGCUCGUAGGUGGUUUGUCGCGUUGUUCGUGAAAACUCACAGCUCAACUGUGGGCGUGCGGGCGAUACGGGCAGACUAGAGUACUGCAGGGGAGACUGGAAUUCCUGGUGUAGCGGUGGAAUGCGCAGAUAUCAGGAGGAAGACCAGUGGCGAAGGCGGGUCUUUGGACAGUUCCUGACGCUGAGGCGCGAAGGCCAGGGGAGCAAACGGG